GUGAAUUAUUAUUUUUACUGUCAACAACACUAUAGUUUCAUCUUUUGAAUUUUCAGGCAUAUCCUAUACUAAUCUCGGUUAACCCAUUUGUUCCCAAAUUUUUCCCAGACAUGCCACUGCAAAUCUUAUGCCAUUAGUAACCCUAACAUGUCUUUUCUUAUAUAUAUAUAUAUAUAUUGAAAAGUGUGUUUUAUUCUCGAUGGGAACAUAAAAAAAGAAGGCAGGUAGCCUAGUGAUUAGAGCGUUGGACUAGUAACCGAAAGGUUGCAAAAUCGAAUCCCCGAGCUGUCAAGGUAAAAAUCUGUCGUUCUGCCCCUGAACAAGGCAGUUAACCCACUGUUCCUAGGCCGUCAUUGAAAAUAAGAAUUUGUUCUUAACUGACUUUCCUAGUUAAAUAAAGGUAAAGUUAAGUGAUCUGUCUAUAAUACCAUUUACAGACUUGUUUUCCUAUUCCUCAGCCCCAAUAUCUAUAUACCUCAGCCCACUUACCCACACACCUAAACCCAAUUAAUUACCUACACACCCCAGCCCUGUUACCCCCAUGCCCUAACACCCACAUUCCAAUACCCUAAUAUUGAUACAAUCAAGUAGCCUACCGAUACACCCAUCGCCUAGUCCUAAAUGUAGCGUGUCCACCCGGUGACAACGCGCUUUGGUGAUGACAUUUAAUUUCCAUUUGUUAUAAAAUACAUUUUACCAAGACAAAUAUGAUUAUUAAUGUUCUGAAUCGUUCAGUGGGGUCUUUCUCUGACAUAUCAUUAACAUUAUAUCCAAAAAGUCGGAUUUCGUAACCUAAUACAUCUGAUAAUAGCCAAAGCACCAAACUUUGUUGACAGCGCUUAGCAGCUUUAUCACAGCAACUUUUGAGGAUUUUACAUUUUGUGAUUGUCGCCUUCCAAGUUGUGUCUGGGGGUCGCAAAUAGCAAAAUGAGCGUGGCAUGAGCUGAAUUAAAUGUAAAAGGCUUUGAAAAUAAAAGGCUUGAGGUAAGCUCAGUGCUCCGUUGACAUUUCACUGAGAUACACUUGUUUUGGUGAGAAGUCGUCGAAAAAGAACAGGAACUUAGCAUUAAUAUGAACAACGUAUACUAAAAUAUGAAAAUGCUACAUGUCAUGUCUCAAAAUCAAUAUCUAUCUUACCUCUAAAUUGUUAUAUGUCCUCAGGAUUUGAGAAGAAAAAUUACGAGUUCAAUAGUAAGUCUGUCAGGAAGCCUUAAUUCUCGCUCAGCAUCCAGCCUAGCUGAGACGAUGCUAUUUUCCUGAUUUAUGACCACUUUUUUUCCUCUGGCCUCCAUUGAGUUAGUCGCCCUGAUUUUGAAUAUGCUACACGGGUAAAAAUUCAAAUAAAUUUGGAACGUAUUAUGAUACAGACAUGAGAUUUUACCCAUUGGUCAAAAUAUGCUUUUUUUAUUGGACAACCUACUAAAUGCCCUAUUUGUUACUCAUAGACCCCAGUUCCUUUGCCAACAUACCUCAUCCCUGUUACUUACCUAUCUCAGCCACUUUCCUUAUGGCUGUAUUCCCCAAGUCACCGACAGUAGCUUAUAUCCAGCUAUACACUGCACACCCCAACCCUGUUAUUUGCAUAUCUUAGUCUUGCGACCUCUGACUUGUAUACAAUAAUACUUUCAUAGAUAAACUCAUAGUACAGUGCUAUAACACAUGUGCCCCUGCCCCAUUCACUUUUUUAGUACCAGGGAUUUGAAUGGGCAAUAGAGGUUCAUCCAGACCCAUUACCCGUAUGAGCCUUGUGUAUCCCUACACCCCAUUACUCAUACAAACCAGGAAAAUCCAUGGGCAUACUCACAUAAAACAGUUAUUACACUAAUUCAGUUUAUGGGUCUAUACAUGGCCGAUUCCCCCUGAAAUAACAAAAUAUGACGUUUAACAGUCAAAAUCACUGAUUUAAACAUAUGUAAAGACUAAUGGAUAAUGGUAAAAUCCUCUGUAAGAUGAUAUUGAUCAAGUAUAUUCAUAACCCAACUCAACUUCAAUCUACUGAAAAAAUAAAUAAUCUACUGAUGAAAUAUAUAUAAUAAGUUAGAGCCAAUGCAUUUUCCCAUUGGUCACAAAUGUGACCGCUAGGAUAUGUUAAAAAACCAUCACGCGCUGUGAUGAAACUGGCUCUCAUGUGGACCACCACAGGAAAGGAAGACCCAGAGUUACCUCUGCUGCAGAGGAUAAGUUCAUCAGAGUUACCAGCCUCAGAAAUUGCAGCCCAAAGUUAAAGUAACAGAGUUAAAGUAACAGACACAUCUCAACAUCAACUGUUCAGAGACUGCGUGAAUCAGGCCUUCAUGGUUGAAUUGCUGCAAAGAAACCACUACUAAAGGACACCAAUAAUAAGAAGAGACUUGCUUGGGCCAAGAAACACGAGCAAUGGACAUUAGACCGGUGGAAAUCUGUCCUUUGGUCUGAUGAGUCCAAAUUAGACAUUUUUGGUUCUAACCACCAUGUCUUUGUGAGACGCAGAGUAGGUGAACGGAUGAUCUCCGCAUGUGUGGUUCCCACCGUGACACAUGGAGGAGGAGGUGUGAUGGUGUGGGUGUGCUUUACUGGUGACACUGUCUGUGAUUUAUUUAGAAUUCUAAACACACUUAACCAGCAUGGCUACCACAGCAUUCUGCAGCGAUAUGCCAUACCAUGUGGUUUGCGCUUAGUGGGACUAUAAUUUGUUUUCAACAGGACAAUGACCCUAAACACACCACCAGGCUGUGUAAGGGCUAUAUGACCAAGGAGAGUGAUGGAGUGCUGCAUUAGAUGACCUGGCCUCCACAAUCCCCCGACCUCAACCCAAUUGAGAUGGUUGGGGAUGAAUUGGAGUGAAGGAAAAGCAGCCAACAAGUGCUCAGCAUAUGUGGGAACUCCUUCAAGACUAUUGGAAAAUAAUUCCUCAUGAAGCUGGUUGAGAGAAUGCCAAGACUGCAAAGCUGUCAUCAAGGCAAAGGGUG
rnacentral:lncRNA from 1 species